rnacentral:piRNA from 1 species
AUAACCCUCAGUGCCUUCACUCU